rnacentral:rRNA from 1 species
GACGAACGCUGGCGGCGUGCUUAACACAUGCAAGUCGAGCGAUGAAGCACCUUCGGGUGUGGAUUAGCGGCGAACGGGUGAGGAACACGUGGGGAAUCUGCCUUUCACUUUGGGAUAACUCCGGGGAACCGGGGCUAAUACCGGAUAUUUUCAACUGGCGGCAUCGCCGGUUGAAGAAAGUUUUUCGGUGAAAGAUGACCUCGCGGCCUAUCAGCUUGUUGGUGAGGUAAUGGCUCACCAAGGCGACGACGGGUAGCCGGCCUGAGAGGGCGACCGGCCACACUGGGACUGAGACACGGCCCAGACUCCUACGGGAGGCAGCAGUGGGGAAUAUUGGGCAAUGGAGGAAACUCUGACCCAGCGACGCCGCGUGAGGGAUGAAGGCCUUCGGGUUGUAAACCUCUUUCAGCAGGGAAUAAGCGAAAGUGAAGGUACCUGCAGAAGAAGCACCGGCUAACUAUGUGCCAGCCGCCGCUGUAA